rnacentral:rRNA from 1 species
GCGGGUGCUAACGUCCGUCGUGAAAAGGGAAACAACCCAGAACCCACAGCUAAGGUCCCAAAUUCAUAGCUAAGUGGAAAACGAUGUGGAAAGGCAUAGACAGCCAGGAGGUUGGCUUAGAAGCAGCCAUCCUUUAAAGAAAGCGUAAUAGCUCACUGGUCGAGUCGGUCUGCGCGGAAGAUUUAACGGGGCUAAGCUAUGAACCGAAGCUUGGGGUGCAUAUUUUUAUAUGCGCGGUAGAGGAGCGUUCCGUAAGCCUGUGAAGGUGAGUUGAGAAGCUUGCUGGAGGUAUCGGAAGUGCGAAUGCUGACAUGAGUAACGAUAAUAUGGGUGAAAAACCCAUACGCCGAAAGCCUAAGGUUUCCUUGCGCAACGUUAAUCGGCGCAGGGUUAGUCGGCCCCUAAGGCGAGGGCGAAAGCCGUAGUCGAUGGGAAGCAGGUUAAUAUUCCUGCACCUCGCGUGAGUGCGAUGGAGGGACGGAGAAGGCUAGGUGUACCGGGCGUUGGUUGUCCCGGGGAAAGGAGGUAGGCUGGUUCCUUAGGAAAAUCCGGGGGUCCUUUUAAAGCCGAGCACCGAGACGAGUCUUUUUAGAUGAAGUCACUGAUGCCACGCUUCCAGGAAAAGCUUCUAAGCUUCAGCUCACGAAGACCGUACCGUAAACCGACACAGGUAGGUAGGAUGAGAAUUCUCAGGCGCUUGAGAGAACUCGGGUGAAGGAACUAGGCAACAUGGCACCGUAACUUCGGGAGAAGGUGCACCCUUUUUGGUGGCGCGUGCGCGUUAUAGCUGAAGAGGGUCGCAGAAACCAGGCCGCUGCGACUGUUUAUCAAAAACACAGCACUCUGCAAACACGAAAGUGGACGUAUAGGGUGUGACGCCUGCCCGGUGCUGGAAGGUUAAUUGAUGGGGUUAGCUGUAAAAAGCGAAGCUCUUGAUCGAAGCCCCAGUAAACGGCGGCCGUAACUAUAACGGUCCUAAGGUAGCGAAAUUCCUUGUCGGGUAAGUUCCGACCUGCACGAAUGGCGUAACGACAGCGGCGCUGUCUCCACCCGAGACUCAGUGAAAUUGAAAUCGCUGUGAAGAUGCAGCGUUCCCGUGGCAAGACGGAAAGACCCCGUGAACCUUUACUAUAGCUUUACACUGAACGUUGAGUUCGUCUGUGUAGGAUAGGUGGGAGGCUAUGAAACCAUGACGCUAGUUGUGUUGGAGCCAUCCUUGAAAUACCACCCUGUCGUGCUUGACGUUCUAACCUAGUUCCGUUAUCCGGAUCAGGGACAGUGUAUGGUGGGUAGUUUGACUGGGGCGGUCUCCUCCCAAAGAGUAACGGAGGAGCACGAAGGUACGCUCAGCGCGGUCGGACAUCGCGCACUGUGUGCAAAGGCAUAAGCGUGCUUGACUGCGAGAUCGACGGAUCAAGCAGGUACGAAAGUAGGUCUUAGUGAUCCGGUGGUUCUGUAUGGAAGGGCCAUCGCUCAACGGAUAAAAGGUACUCCGGGGAUAACAGGCUGAUACCGCCCAAGAGUUCAUAUCGACGGCGGUGUUUGGCACCUCGAUGUCGGCUCAUCACAUCCUGGGGCUGUAGUCGGUCCCAAGGGUAUGGCUGUUCGCCAUUUAAAGUGGUACGCGAGCUGGGUUCAGAACGUCGUGAGACAGUUCGGUCCCUAUCUGCCAUGGGCGUUGGAGAUUUGAGAGGGGCUGCUCCUAGUACGAGAGGACCGGAGUGGACGAACCUCUGGUGUUCCGGUUGUCACGCCAGUGGCAUUGCCGGGUAGCUAUGUUCGGAAGCGAUAACCGCUGAAAGCAUCUAAGCGGGAAGCGCGCCUCAAGAUGAGAUCUCCCGGGAUGUAAAUCCCCUAAAGGAACCAUGUAGACUACGUGGUGGAUAGGUCAGGUGUGUAAGUGCAGCAAUGCAUUGAGCUAACUGAUACUAAUGAUCCGUGUGGCUUGACCAUAUAACCUUA